rnacentral:rRNA from 1 species
AUCCAGACUCCUACGGGAGGCAGCAGUGGGGAAUAUUGCACAAUGGGGGAAACCCUGAUGCAGCGACGCCGCGUGAGUGAAGAAGUAUUUCGGUAUGUAAAGCUCUAUCAGCAGGGAAGAAAAUGACGGUACCUGACCAAGAAGCCCCGGCUAACUACGUGCCAGCAGCCGCGGUAAUACGUAGGGGGCAAGCGUUAUCCGGAUUUACUGGGUGUAAAGGGAGCGUAGACGGUUGCGCAAGUCUGGAGUGAAAGGCGGGGGCCCAACCCCCGGACUGCUCUGGAAACUGUGUAACUGGAGUGCAGGAGAUGUAAGUGGAAUUCCUAGUGUAGCGGUGAAAUGCGUAGAUAUUAGGAGGAACACCAGUGGCGAAGGCGGCUUACUGGACUGUAACUGACGUUGAGGCUCGAAAGCGUGGGGAGCAAACAGGAUUAGAUACCCCCGUA